GACGAACGCUGGCGGUGUGCUUAACACAUGCAAGUCGAACGGUAAGGCCCUUUCGGGGGUACACGAGUGGCGAACGGGUGAGUAACACGUGAGUAACCUGCCCUCAUCUCUGGGAUAACAGUCGGAAACGGUUGCUAAUACUGGAUAUGAGCUUGCAAGGCAUCUUGUGGGUUGGAAAGAUUUUUUUGGUUGGGGAUGGACUCGCGGCCUAUCAGCUUGUUGGUGAGGUAGUGGCUCACCAAGGCUUCGACGGGUAGUCGGCCUGAGAGGGCGACCGGCCACAGUGGGACUGAGAUACGGCCCAAACUCCUACGGGAGGCAGCAGUGGGGAAUAUUGCACAAUGGACGGAAGUCUGAUGCAGCAACGCCGCGUGCGGGAUGACGGCCUUCGGGUUGUAAACCGCUUUCAAUUGUGACGAAGCUUUUUGUGACGGUAGCAGUAGAAGAAGCACCGGCUAACUACGUG
rnacentral:rRNA from 1 species